rnacentral:lncRNA from 1 species
UUAUGUAAUAGAUAUCAUAACGUACCGAGAUAGACCCAAUGGGACAAUAGUUUCGUUCUAUAAGUUUAACGUUAAAUGGGUCCUUACAUAUGUAACAAAAUACUGCUCUCCUUUAGAGGAUAAUAGGAUAAAUGAGAUUAUUUAUUUACGCUUCAUUAAUUGGAAGCCUUAUGUAAAUUUAAGUCUAUACUUGUUUAGAUAUUACUCACAUUGCAACACACUAGAUAUGUCUAGAUUAAUGUGUAGCAUCUAAUGGAGUAUUACAAUAUCCUUAAAAGAAACGAGAGACUACAAUUUAAAGAAGAAUUUCGGGUAUAUCUUUAUGUCAGCAGACAAAACCUAUUUCAUGGAGGAGUCAUAAUGCACUGAUAUUAACAACCUAAGUUAUAACGACAUAACAUGGUCACUAAAUGUUGUUGGAAAUUUAAUCAGUGGACUCAUAAGUUUAUUAACUCCAUAUAAUGUUUUGAAGAAUUAGUGUGAUAAAGUCAGCUACCAUAACUCCUUGAACAGUAACAGUUCAAGAGGUGCUGCAUUAAGUUUCGAUACGCAAUUAAUUAUUCGUUUAUGAACGAAUUGAGGAAACUAAGUUUUGUAUCGAAUACAUUCAUGAUAUGCUUAAGGAUCCUAUAACUGAAGGGCUAUUACCCAUAAGUCUUAUUAAGAGAGCUCAUAGACGGGUAUUAAUUAAUAGUCAUGCGCAAUUGCAUAUCGUACUAUGAAUGACUAAGUAUUAGUUAAUUUUCCUCAAGUUUGAUUUUGUAUGUCUGUUAGAAUAUGUUCAACCGGUAUAAUGGCAUAUAGACAAAUAAAAGUUACAAAUCAAACAAAGGGCUUACGCGUAUUUUGAUCAUGAUGAUUAGGUUUUAAAUUAAGGCUAUAGUAUGAUUAAUGGGGGUCCUGAGUCGCAUAAUGAUUCAACGGCUGUAUUUUUCUGCUAUAGUACUUGUUUAAAGCUAAAAUGAGUGUUAACUCCUGAUCAGGCUUAUCUAACACUCAUAGUAAAUGAUUACUCGGCUAAGUGGGAGAAUGUAAGAUUAAAUAUAUUACGUAUUGGUAUUUAAUCUAUAGCCAUCAUAAUCAUUUACAUUAUAGAGAUCAAAAUAUAUUAGAACCUAUUAAAUAAUUAGUUGGUAAUUGUUGAUGGACCAUAUUACCCUUAUUAACUAAUUAGGGUUUCCUCCUGGGUGCUUAUAUAAGGAGACUUAUGUGGAGGUUAAGGGGUUACACAGUUACACAAUCAGACAUCCCAUUAGCCAUAACAUCAUAAUGCUCGACCUCCUCUCCUACAACCGAUACCCUUUUCGGUUUUCUUAGCCACCAUCAUUAGAUUGCACCCUAAGGAGGAACCAGACCAAAACUGACAACUAUGUCAAACACUAUUGCUGCAUCUACAUCUGGAUUCUCUGCUGGUCUGUACUGAUGCAAUCAAAUGUAUGUUUUUCAUGUUUUCCUUCAUGUAUAAACAGAACUGAACCAACAGAUUAAUAAACUUAUGAUAUUUGAUAUAUAUAAUUAAUUUCCCCAAAACUAAUUUCUUUAUAAUUUAACAUGUUAGAGUACUCUCUGCCUAGGCUGAGUAUUCUUAAUUCCCUAGUCGACCGACUAGGGAGCACCUAACGACUUUUGCAAGCAUGGGAGGCACUUAAACAAAAUGUAUGUACAAAUAUUUAUUCAGGUUUAAAGUAUUUUAUUCAAUUUAAAAUUGAUUCUAUAUUGACCAUUGAACUUGAUCACAGACUGUUCUAAAAGUUAUGAAUAUAUACAUAGAUUAAGAAGUAACA